rnacentral:rRNA from 1 species
UACGGGGGGUGCAAGCGUUAUCCGGAUUCACUGGGUUUAAGGGAGCUCAGGCGGCUUUGUCAGUCAGUGGUGAAAGGCUUAAGCUUAACUUGGGAACUGCCAUUGAUACUAUAAGUCUUGAAUGUUGUUGAGGUUUGCGGAAUGGGUCAUGUAGCGGUGAAAUGCAUAGAUAUGACCCGGAACACCUAUUGCGAAGGCAGCAGGCUAAACAAAUAUUGACGCUGAGGCUCGAAAGCGUGGGGAUCAAACAGG